AGCCAGGAGAAGGAAAUUCACAGGGUUAAUCACUCAGUUAAGGUGGGGCAAGAACAAAUCACCAUGGUGGAAUGUCAUCAGUUAAGGCGGGGCAGGGCCUUUUCAGUUCUUUUGUGAUUCUUCAGUUACUUCAGGCCAUCUGGGCGUAUACGUGCAAGUCACAGGGGAUGCGAUGGCUUGGCUUGGGCUCAGAGGCCUGACAUUCCUGCCUUCUUAUAUUAAUAAGAAAAAUAAAACAAAAUUGUGUUGAAGUGUUGGGGCGGUGAAAAUUUUUGGGGGGUGGUAUGGAGAGAGAAUGGGCGAUGUUUCUCAGGGCUGCUUCAAGCGGGAUUAGGGGCGGCGUGGGAACCUAGAGUGGGAGAGAUUAAGCUGAAGGGAGGUCUUGUGGUAAGGGGUGACAUUGAGGGGGUUGUUAGAAGAAACAUUUGUCAUACAGAAAGAUUGGUGAUGGCCUGGAUACGGUUUUGUAUGAACUGAAAAACUAAAUGGAAUAAGAGAAGGAGAAAAACAGGUAUAAAAGGACUAAGAAUUGGGAGGAUCUAGGACAUCUAAUUAGAGAAUGCCUAAGGAGGUUCAGCAUAGUCCUUCCAGCGAAGAUUAUUUAUUUACUUCAAGAGUUAAGAGUGGCAGUUUGGGGAUAGCAUGAGGAGAUAUCAGCCAUGAUGGCUUGGAGAAACAGUGUAAACUGGCAGUGUAAACAAGAGCAGGGCAUGUAUGAGUAGUUGAGAACGGAGAAUAGGAGUAUGACUAGACGGAAAAUAGUAGGGAUGACAAGUUUUUUUGGGGGCACAGUCUAAGUUGGUCUGGUGUCUGGGAUGAGACUGGGGCCUAAUAAAAAGGAGCUUAAAUGGACUGUACCUUGUAGCAUUCUGAGGACAGGUCUGACUUCUGAGAAGGGAAAGUGGUAAAAGUAUUGUCCAGUUCUUUUUAAGUUGGUGGCUGAGCUUGGUGAGGUGUGUUUUUAAAAGACCUUUAGUCCGUUCUACUUUUCUUGAAGACAGAGGACUAUAAGGGAUAUAAACUGAAAAACUGCUUGGCUAAUUUGACUAAUAAAGCCUGGUCUGUUAUCAGACUGUAUAGAGGUGGGAAGGCUAAACUGAGGAAUUAUGUCUGACAGAAGGGAAGAAAUGACUGCGGUGGCCUUCUCAGACCCUGUAGGAAAGGCCUCUACCUAUCUAGUGAAAAUGUCUACUUAGACUAAGAGGUAUUUUAGUUUUUGUGACUCGGGGCAUGUGGAGUAAAGCUAAUUUGCCAGUCCUGGGCGGGGGCAAAUCCUCGAGCUUGAUGUGUAGGGAAGGGAGGGGCCUGAAUGAUCCUUGAGGAGUAGCAGAAUAGCAGAUAGAAUAGCAGAUGGAACACUGAGAAGUUAUUUCCUUGAGGAUAGAUUUCUACAAUGGAAAGGAAAUGAGAGGUUCUAAGAGAUGGGCUAGUGGCUUGUAAUAUGGGGAAAUGGGGUGAAUGUCAGGUGGAUCAGAGAGAUGCAGUCAUGGGGAUCAGGUGUGGUAUCAGGAAUAAUGUGGGAGGCCAGAUUGAAGUCUGGGCCAGGAACAAUGGUAAUUGUGGGACUUAACAAAGAAUGAGUACAGCUGAAGGAGCCGGGGAGCAGAAAGUAUAUGCGUCAGGUAUGAGGAAGAAAAUAGAUUUUGGAAGUUAUGAGAAAUGUAGAGAGUGAGUUGAACAUAGUUUGUGAUUUUUAGGGCCUCUAAAAUUAUUAAAGCAGCGGCAGCUGCUGCAUGCAGACAUGAGGGCUAGGCUAAAACAGUAAGGUCAAGUUGUUUGGACAGAAAGGCUACAGGGUGGGGUCCUGGCUCUUGUGUAAGAAUUCUGACCGCACUAACCAUGCCUAGGAAGGAAAGGAGUUGUUGUUUUGUAAGGGAUUGAGGUUUGGGAGAUUAAUCAGACACCAUCAGCAGGGAGAGCACCUGUGUUUUUGUGAAGAAUUAUGCCGAGAAGACGAUGAUUCCAGAUGGAAAAAAUGGAAAUGUAAGAGGGAAUUAACAACACUGGAAUUAGUAAACCCAUGGGCUUCAUCCAUGUGCUAGUUCAGCCUGUGAGAUGCUGGUGAGCCCACCUCCAGGCACUCACGGACUCCCCACCCAUUGAGUGUGGCCUGGAUUUAGUGACUCAAUCAAACGUGACAGAGUGCUGGGGUGUCAUUUUCAAGACUGGGUUAUGUGAAGACUGCAGCCUCCAUCUGGGGUGCUCUCUCUUGGAUUGCUUGCUCAGGGAUGUGGGGAGAGCUGCUGUGCUGGGAGGCUGCCCAUGUGAGUUGACUUGGAUGUGAACCUUCUGUGGCCUGCCAAUAGCCACGUGAGUGACCUUGAAAAUGGAUCAGCCUUCACUCAAGUCUCAAGAUGACUGUGGUCUUGGCUGACAGCUUGAUUGCUGUCUCAUGGGGGACCUUAAACCAAAGGCACCCUGCUAAGCCACACACAGCUUCCUGGCCCACAGAAACUAUGAAAUAAUAACCAUUUCUUAUAUAAGCCUCCAAGUUUUGGGAGUAAUAUUUUGCACAGUGAUGGAUCACUAAUACAAGCCAGUCAUCAGUUGAAAGACACUGAAUUUAUUUCCAGUUUUAUGUGAUUAUGAAUAAUGUCACCAUAUGCAUUUGCAUACAGGUGUUUGUGUGGACACUGCUGUCAUUUCUCUUGGGAAGAUACUGAGGAGUCAGAUUGCUGGAUCCCGUGAAGAAUGUGCACCUGGGAUUGGCUCUUGCUUCCUAAGGAACCUCAAAAAAGCUGCAACCUAUUGGAGACUUUUGAUUCAGCAUCAAGGAUAUGCGUGAGACUUUGGUUCUUUUCUGUUGGGACACAGUUGAUUCUGACUGUCUUAAAGUUAGGCUUUUCUAAAGAUUUAGACUAAUAAAUUAUUUGAAUGGGACAACACACAUCAUUUGCUUUAUUAUACUUUAAAUAUGGCAGAACGGUGUAUUACCACCCCAAUCCCAAUCACCGGUACCUCCAUAGGCAGAGAUGUUAUCCUUAUUUUGCUGAAGAAGGAAUUAGGGUUACUCAGAGUCAUGCAGUUGGAAAGAGAUAGAAUGGAACUUUAACCUGUAUGUUCUGAUUAUUAUUCAGUCU
rnacentral:lncRNA from 10 species